GACGAACGCUGGCGGCAUGCCUAACACAUGCAAGUCGAACGGAAAGGCCCUGCUUAUGUGCGGAGCUCGAGUUGCGAACGGGUGAGUAACACGUGAGUUACCUGUCCCUCCCUUUAGGAUGUCUUAAUGACACUGAGUCUCAUACCGCCAAAGAGUUCCUGCUUUUUGGUGGGGGUGCGUUAGAUUCGGCGGUUGGGGAUGUACACGCGGCUCAUCAGCUUGUUGCUUGGGUAGUGGCUUACCAAGGCUUUGACGGGUAGCCGGCCUGAGAGGCUGACCGGCCACAUUGGGACUGAGAUACGGCCCAGACUCCUACGGGAGGCAGCGGUGGGGAAGAUUGCACAAUGGGCGGAAGCCUGAUGCAGCAACGCCGCGUGCGGGAUGACGGCCUUCGGGUUGUAAACCGCUUUCGCCUGUGACGAAGCGUGAGUGACGGUAAUGGGUAAAGAAGCACCGGCUAACUACGUG
rnacentral:rRNA from 1 species